rnacentral:siRNA from 1 species
CCAUUAGCUACUGCGACCGCCCGU